AUGGAGACUCCAGCCGGAGAAGAUGGCCUCGUCGACGCCAACCCGCAGCUGCCAAGCGGCGGAUCGCCGGCCUCGUGUGCCAGGCGAAAUGCAUCACAGAAGGGCACGGUGGACGCCCGCCGGGAGCGCCGCCGGCACCAGAUCAGAUUUCGUCCGCCCGCCAGGUGCUUGUGUUUAUUCCCCAUCCGUUCCACCACCCCUACUAGUGACCAACCACUCGCCACGCUUCGCUUUGCUUUGCUUGGACUCGCCUACUUGGAUGCUUCCUUCGUGGUAUCGAGGUGUGGCCAAGACAAGAAACAGAACUGA
rnacentral:rRNA from 1 species